AAAUUUUGAAGAAGAGAAAAAAAAACAAAAAAAAACUUUAAUCGAUGAACAAGUGGCAAAAUAUAUUAUUCUCACUUUGAAAAUAUUCCGUUGAAUCUAUUGAAUACACAGUACACAUACGAAGAACAUACGCACAAUAUUUCCCAAAUUUCUACUAAAUAGAAACAGCUAAUCAAAUUGACAUAACAAAUUAAAAUAAAAACAAAACAAAAUUAUUAUUUUUGCUACACUCACAGGAAAGUAAAAUUUGAUACAUUUUUUCUGUUUGGUGGUUGUUGUGGCUUGUAGUUUUGUUCCCACAUAAAUGUCGUUUAACAAGUGAGAAUCUAGAUUUUUAUUUUCUGAUCUUUUUGAUAGAUACGCACACGCGAGUUGCAACGAAGUAUACUAAAAUCUAGUUGUUCGUUUGUUAGACUAAAUGUAUGUGGAAACAAAAUUACAAACCACAUCAACUGUGAAAUCGGGAAACAUGUCAAAUUCCGCUUUUCCGCUAGUGUAUUUCAUUUUAUAUCGAUGUUCUUCCGUCGUUCAUUUUGACAUCAUAGUCGUGAAAAAGGAAAUUCCUACGGAACAAUUAAAUUACAUUACGCACCACACA